GGAGAAAUGACCGAGUGGUUGAAGGUGCGCGCCUGGAAAGUGCGUAUGCCUCAAAAGGGCAUCGCGAGUUCGAAUCUCGCUUUCUCCG
rnacentral:tRNA from 1 species